AUCAUUUACAUCACAAUGUAUUGUAUGUUUUUAGUGACAGCGGAGAACUGUGAUCAUGAUUCUGAUUGCAAGUUGACAACAUGUGGCACUAACUUCCACCUUGAUUGCUACAGUAGAGAUAAUGUGUGCACAUGUAUACCAGACCGUAGUUCAGACUACAGCUGUACAGGAAAUGGUGCCGAUGCUUGCAAAUCACAUUUCGGAGAUUGCACUCAUGGUGACCAUCAUUGGCAUUGCGUUGACGGACGUUGCCGAUGCAGCUAUUUCGGAUAAAGCAAUUUGAAACGGCACAUCAACACGCAUGAUUACUUAUAAUAAUUUUGAAAUAAAAUUAUUGCGUUAAAA